AUCCUAAUGCAACCCCUACAGGAA
rnacentral:siRNA from 1 species